rnacentral:rRNA from 1 species
GACGAACGCUGGCGGCGUGCCUAAUACAUGCAAGUAGAACGCUGAAGGAGGAGCUUGCUCUUCUGGAUGAGUUGCGAACGGGUGAGUAACGCGUAGGUAACCUGCCUGGUAGCGGGGGAUAACUAUUGGAAACGAUAGCUAAUACCGCAUAAGAGUAGAUGUUGCAUGACAUUUGCUUAAAAGGUGCAAUUGCAUCACUACCAGAUGGACCUGCGUUGUAUUAGCUAGUUGGUGGGGUAACGGCUCACCAAGGCGACGAUACAUAGCCGACCUGAGAGGGUGAUCGGCCACACUGGGACUGAGACACGGCCCAGACUCCUACGGGAGGCAGCAGUAGGGAAUCUUCGGCAAUGGACGGAAGUCUGACCGAGCAACGCCGCGUGAGUGAAGAAGGUUUUCGGACCGUAAAGCUCUGUUGUAAGAGAAGAACGAGUGUGAGAGUGGAAAGUUCACACUGUGACGGUAUCUGACCAGAAAGGGACGGCUAACUACGUG